rnacentral:misc_RNA from 1 species
GUCGGAAAUGUAUAAUUAGUGAGGAUCUUUUGAGUGGAAAUAAUAUUAAUUUAACUCCGAAUUCUACUUGAAUGAAGCUGAAAAUAUAGGAGCAGAUGGCAGAAUCUUACCUUGUUUAGGAUAUUGCAGAGGUGAUUUGCUAUUUUGUGGGUUUUUAGUUACAAAAUGUUGAUUAAACUGCUGCAUCUUGAGACUGGUGAUUGUUAUGCAUUCGAAGGAGAGUGGGCAGAGGGAAAGGAGAAACCAAUAGCUUUCACAUUUGUGACUUGUGGCUGGUGAGUGGAGACCAAUAGUUUUGACAUUGUGGUAUCUUUGCUGAUGCUUGUUCAGCAAGCUCUUGGAUAAGACAUUUGACAAGUAAAGGCAUGCUGACUAUCUUAUGAUGAAAAGAAGUAUGUGUUUGUGAUCUGGAGUCUAAAUAUUUUGUCUGUGGAAUAGAAGAAAUGAGAAGUACUUUAAUGAUCAUACCAUCUAUUGGGAUCCACCAUACCCCUAUAAAUCUGCUUAUCACUGUAUGUUAGACCGAGAGUAGUGAUAAGAGAACGGGUUAACUUCCCAUCUCUGAGGUAUCAUGUCAAUUAUGGAACAGUCUUCAACAUCAUCAUCCAACUCAGUGAAGCAUGGUAACUUGUAUCGGAUAUAUUGAGUCGCAGUGUGACAUUCGGGCUAUUGAGUUACUUGCAUUCAGUUCCUAGAGGUUUAUCUCAUCACGUUUUUUCCUAUAUCUAAAAUAGUAGACAUAGAAUAGAGCCUUGUUUACACAUAAACUCCAUUUUUUAUCAUCAUGAUUAUUAGAAAAACCCUAAACAGUGGUUGAGUAUCUUCUCAGAUUUUCAGUGUAUUCUUUUAACCUGAAUCUAACGGGCUUUAAGAUAAUUAAUUGGUUCUUUCAUGUUUGCUCAACCAAUUUGGUAGUGUGCAUAUGGCUGGUUAGAAUAAUCCUCAACCAAUUUUAUAUUGUCUUAUUGAAGUCUCCUCUUCCUUUUCUUUCUCUUUUCUCUUGUUUAUUUCACUUGUUUAGUUUCCUCAUAGUCACACUUGCCCAUUGCCUCAAGGAAAUUCAGGUUAACACGUGCUUGAUACUACUAUUUCAUUGGAAAAUCCAAAAGAAAUGGCAGUCUAUAAUGGAAUUUUCUAAUAAGGGCUUAAUUGCUGACAAGAAGAGUCAAAAGGUUUUGCCAUUUAUGGAUAAAUUGAAACUGAAUCCUAAUAUGUCAUACCUUAAUCUAUUAUUGUAGUGGGAAAUACUGUUUGUUAGUUAUCAUAUUAAUAUCUUGUUAACUUUCAUGCUUAUUCUUAUGGUUUUGUAUUUCAUCUUGUACAUAUUCUCUCCCUCUCUCUCGCACACACUUCAUUACUCUCGCGUUUUCUUGGGACAGAAAUCUCAACUAAAAUCAAAUAUAGAAAUAAUUCUAUAUGUACAACCUUACAUGUGCAUAGAGUUGUCAGCUUCUAUGUUAGAUGGAAGAUCCUGAUUCUAUGGCUGAAAUUCUUGUCUCUAAAUUGUUUCCCAUUCAUGUGCUACCAAGCUGAAUUUUUAUUCAUAUGUUAUUCAUUUUCUUGCAGUUGUUUGGCAGGUUUAAGUUACAAAUGAUUAUUCAACCGCAGGUUGUAUCUGAUGGAACAAAAAAAACCUUAAAAUUUACAUCAUUAAAAGUGUGGAUAUCCAUCUGUUUAUGUGAGAUUUUGACACCCUCUGUUACUUGUGAAAGUAGUUUUGAUAUGUUAACAUUAAACUUCAAAGAACCAAGUGAAAAAAAACUCACUCAAAGUGAAACAAUGUGGUCACUAAUUAUUGUGAAAUUGGUUCUUAAUCUUUAAAAAUUUUGCAGGUGUAUUCAUUGGAUUGGACUCCUGAAAAGAAUCGAAUUGUCAGUGCAUCUCAGGAUGGGCGGUUGAUAGUGUGGAAUGCCCUAACAAGCCAGAAAACUCAUGCCAUAAAGUUGCCUUGUGCUUGGGUCAUGACUUGUGCCUUCUCUCCAACUGGUCAGUUUGUUGCUUGUGGUGGUCUUGAUAGUGUUUGCUCUAUUUUCAACCUCAAUUCACCAUCAGAUAAGGAUGGGAACCUGCCAGGAUCAAAGAUGCUUAGUGGGCACAAGGGUUAUGUUUCCUCCUGCCAGUAUGUGCCAGAUGAGGACACUCAUCUAAUUACAAGUUCUGGUGAUCAUACUUGUGUUUUGUGGGAUAUUACAACAGGCCUUAGAACUUCUGUGUUUGGAGGAGAGUUUCAGUCUGGACACACUGCUGAUGUACUAAGUGUUUCUAUUAAUGGAUCAAACUCAAGAAUGUUUGUAUCUGGUUCAUGUGAUUCCACUGCCCGAUUGUGGGAUACCCGUGUUGCAAGUCGAGCUGUGCGCACUUUUCAUGGGCAUGAGGGAGAUGUCAAUACUGUGAAGUUCUUUCCAGAUGGCAAUAGGUUUGGAACCGGAUCAGAUGAUGGAACUUGCAGGUUGUUUGACAUUAGAACUGGGCACCAACUCCAAGAAUACUAUCAACAGCAUAGUGACAAUGAGGUUCAAAAUGUGACCUCUAUUGCAUUCUCCAUAUCCGGAAGACUUCUCUUUGCUGGAUAUUCAAAUGGUGAUUGCUAUGUUUGGGAUACUUUAUUAGCGCAGGUUGUUUUGAACCUGGGAUCGCUGCAAAAUUCACAUGAGGGCCGGAUAAGCUGUUUGGGCUUGUCAGCAGAUGGAAGUGCCUUGUGUACAGGAAGUUAUGAUACAAACCUAAAGAUUUGGGCUUUUGGAGGCCAUAGGAAGGUGAUUUGAAUUUCUUUGCAGUUCUCUCUUAUGUAAGGCUCAUUGGUUCCUGCUACCGUCAAUGCCUUGUGCUUCCUUGGUAGAAUUUCAAUAUGUUGUGUGUAAGUUGAUGUGAAGAAGGCAUAAUCGGUACUAUUGCCUCUAGUAAUCUCUAAAUGAGAAAACUGAGUUUUAAAGGAAGAAUGGGGAAAAUGUUGCAGGAAAACGUGAAUAGUUGGGCUUGCCCUGGCUGGAGGUCUAUCGGCCUAUUGUUUUUCCUCCCUUUGUAUUCUUUGCCCAUUUAUUGUAACGGGAAAACUGGGUUCUCGAGGACUACUUGUUAUUUCUUCAGUAAAAUCGAUUAAAUAGUGCCCAAGACCACUGUACUUAAUCCUGUGAGAAGAGAACCUGAAUCGUUAUCUUCUAAGAAUGUGCAUUUGUUUAGCUUAAAUCUAAUUCUUAUAACUUUUAACCCUAUAACCCUAUGUUAAUGUUGUUUGGACCGGCUAAAAAAAAAAAUGUUGUUUGGAUUAAUUAACUAUUUACUUUAUUUGUAUUAAAAAAAGGUAAUAUACAGGUUUAU